rnacentral:lncRNA from 1 species
UCCGAUCGACGAUCCGAACACACCAUCGGACUCACAACGACGCGCUGAUGACGAUCCCUGCUUCCGAUUUUCUGAUCUGACACCCGACCAUCCGGAGAGAUUUGCGAACGAUCACGGCCGUCGAUUUGCAAACGAAGCCCGAUCGCCACGAAACUGGUGCCAUCGCGAAGCUUGAGAUGAGGAGAGUCGGGAUAUGUCCUCCGAUCAUCCAUCCUCCGCCGGAGCUCGCCGGAAAAGCCCAAAAACGCGGCUGCCCCCUACUUUCUCUCUCCACCGGAUCUUCCGUCUCCGGCCACCACAGGCGUCGCCGCUGCUGCCAAAAGAAAGCUCUCGCCCAGAGGAGCCGAUCGCCACCCAACUCGGCCGCCAACAACGCCGGAAACGG